UAUCCGGAUUCACUGGGUUUAAAGGGUGCGUAGGCGGGCUGUUAAGUCAGUGGUGAAAUCUUUGGGCUUAACCCGAAAACUGCCAUUGAUACUAUCAGUCUUGAAUAUUGUGGAGGUCUGCGGAAUAUGUCAUGUAGCGGUGAAAUGCUUAGAUAUGACAUAGAACACCAAUUGCGAAGGCAGCAGGCUACGCAUAUAUUGACGCUGAGGCACGAAAGCGUGGGGAUCAAACAGGAUUAGAUACCCUGGUAGUCCACGCCCUAAACGAUGGAUACUCGACAUACGCGAUACACAGUGUGUGUCUGAGCG
rnacentral:rRNA from 1 species